rnacentral:rRNA from 1 species
AUACCUACGGGGGGCAGCAGGGGGGAAUAUUGCACAAUGGGGGGAACCCUGAUGCAGCGACGCCGCGUGAGUGAAGAAGUAUUUCGGUAUGUAAAGCUCUAUCAGCAGGGAAGAAGAUGACGGUACCUGACUAAGAAGCCCCGGCUAACUACGUGCCAGCAGCCGCGGUAAUACGUAGGGGGCAAGCGUUAUCUGGAUUUACUGGGUGUAAAGGGAGCGUAGACGGCAGGGCAAGUCUGGAGUGAAAGCCCGGGGC